GGAUUGAUGAUGAAAACAAUUCUUUGAAUAUGGUGUAUAACUCAUAAAAAUAGCAAUCAGAGAUCC